AGAACAGAAGCAUUUUGUAUAAGAACAUAGAGAGGAGAGAUGGAAGGAGGAGUUAAGACCUGGUGGCUUAAAAUGUUCAUCUCCAUACCCAUGGUGUUAGAUACAGAGCUCUCUUUUGCCUCAGAAAUACAACUGGGAAAUGCUUAAAGCAAAAGUUUCUGAGAGGUUUGAAUACUCUCUUCUUCUUAAUUUCAGAAGAACCAGGGAACACAGAGGCAUAGUAGCUGCUUAUUUUGUACUUGCUACAUCUAUAAGAGUGCAAAGACGCCUAAAAAUUGCUUUCUACAUCAUAGGUAAAUAUUUUCUCUCUUAAUUUAUCUAAUGCAUGCUUAGUUUAAGAGAUUUUUGGAAUGCAGAGGCUGUAAUCUUGUGGAUAGUAUUUAGCUGGUCUCUUACUUUCUCAAAAAAAAAAAAAAAAAGUUUAGUUUUAUUUGGGUAUUCAUUCCUUCCCAGAUCAUAUGAGCUGGUACCUUCUUGUAAGUCACAGCAAAUAAGACACAUCCCAGAAGAGAUUUUACAAAUACAGUCUACCUGCUUGGUGUUAAUGAGUGACUGCAGAUCCCUGGAGGUCAAUAGAGGCAUGAUGCUUAAGACAUUCCUGACAUCUCAUCCACUGUGAAUUCAGCUGUUUAUCUUGGUACAAUAGCAGGGCUCCAUAUAUUCAGGUUACCACUACAUGCUAGAUCAGCUGUCCUUAACAUACCAUCUGAAAUGAGAUUCUCUCAUGAAAAAGUGCUCAAUAGCAAAGCAGAUUCAAGAUGUUCUCAGUUCUAUUCUGCUCCAAUACUGGCAUCCAUUUAAGCCUGGAUAAUACAUCUGCAUAUUCUUCCCUUCCGGUAAAAGAUGAGAAGUUUUUCUUGUGGCAGAAAAAGUGUUAUCAUAAUGCAAACAAAAUUUGACACAAUGUCAGAGGAUCAGUUGUAUUUUUUCAUAAAUAACUAUUCCAAACACUUCCAACUGCGCUUUAUUUUUUAUUCAAACCAAAGGAGUUCAUCACAACUUGAUGAGGCAAGUCCACAUCUAUAAAACUAUAAGUCAGGAAAGCAUGUUCAAGUGGGUUUUUUAAAAUCUAUUUCUGAAUUGGUAAAAAAGUGUUAAAUGCACCUCUGAUAAGACCUUGAGUCAGCCAGAGCUUCUAGGUAAGUCUGACAUUGCUUAAAGCAAGUAUAACAGAAGCCACAUAAAAAGCUUACACACUCUAAGGAUAAGCUUUAAUAAAAGACAGAAUCAUAACUGAAGCUUUUAAGUGGAACAGACCUGUUAUGGUGGGUGAUAAAAAUGUAUGUAAAAAGCAACCUCCCAGACCUUUCUGUUCUUAAAGGACUGGCUCUUGGUUUAGAACUUAGGCCCUAUGACAGAUGACUUUCCCACUAACACCUUUGAGUCCUGCCUACGUGUCUACUUGCUUGUCACCAGAGGGAUCAUAGGAGUUUUUAUCACUUGUUUGGGUUUCUUACUUUCUUAGUGUCCCCCAUGCUGCUUACCCAUCAGGAGCUGCACACAACAGACACUAUGAAUCAUGUUUUGGCACUAUAUAUACAAAUAUUUAUUGAAAUUGAUUUAUUUUUUAGAAUUGAUUAUUUUAAAAAUUAAACAAAAUGUUUUCUAUACUGCAAAAGGAGAAAAAUAAGUGAUGGUUAAAGUAACCAUGGAUGUCCCACUUCAUCAGCCUCACAGAUCUUCUAUGACAGAAUAAUCUGAGUAUGUAGUUAAGCUUGAUUUGUUAACUUCCUAUUUACAGUAUUGCUCUUUACCCAUGAUACUGUUAGAUCUAUUUCCUACAUAAAAUGACCUGGUCCAUUGUAUUGGCAAACAUAUACAUUUCCACAUCUUCUGCUCAGGUACUAGGUAGUAAUAUAGUAAAUACUGAUACCUAAGUUCACCAGUUGUCUGAGCCAUUAUAAAUGCAUGAAAUAUCCUUUAGUCAUCGGCAAGCAUCACCUCUACAAUUCUGUUGAUAUUUUCAUUGAAAAACAAAACACACAAAAAAAACCCCAACCACAAAAUAAGUCAACAUUAAAGUUUGUUGUAAGACUUUUUUAUAAGUACAUCAAAAUUAAAUAACUUCAUAUGUAAGACAGAUGCAGGCAUUACCAUUAGAAGACCUGUAAUAGUGGCUGCUUGUGGUAUUUGCCAAGAAAUUAUAGUUCUUUCUUAUAAAAAGUACAAGAGCAAUGACCUGGAUGAUUGUAGUCUAUGUUCUAGAUAUUCCCAAACUGGCCAGUUAUGGAAAUAAUAAUUUCAGACUGAAAAUCAUGUCUAAAUAAAUAAUUAGAGCUGGGGAAAUAUAUCUAAUUAAUCGGAAGGAUGAUCUUCUUAUGACCAUAUGAUGCAGAAUGAAUCUUCCAUCUCUCUGCUUUUCCAGAAAUGUUUAAUUCUCAAAAUUUCAAGGAAAAUUCUUGAAUAUUUUGCAACUUAAUUUUUGUUUAUAUAACUCAAAAGCUAUUAGAAAUUAAGUUUAGGUGAAAAAUACAGAAUGAAGAUGCACAAUUUUUUUUGUGUCUCAGGCAUACCUCCUAAAUAUACAGGAUGUCUGUAUUGCUUAUCUGCCUUGUUAACUGUUAAAAAGGAGCAUAAAUUGUAAAGAAAUACCAUAUAUUACAUUUGCACCUAGAAGGUGAGUCAAAGUGCAUCUGAUUUGAUGUCACAUGAUUUCUUUCUAUGCUCUGCUGGAUCAGAUUUACAGAUGGCAAAAGAUAUCUGUCUUCUCGCGUGUGGUAAUCAAUCCCUUCUUUACAUAAAAUAAAUAAAAUAAUUUGGAGGAAAAAGCCUUUUUUUUUUUCACAAACUGUUCACAGAGAUAUUAAGUGGCUGGUAAAUAUGUUAUUACUAAUAAUUCAUACUGUUUAUUAGAUAUGGCAAAACAUUAUAACAGUUACAUCAUAUGAUUUUUUUCCAUUUUAUCACUUAGAUAUAGUCAAAUUACAAUGGUCAUGUGAUUAUAACAGAAACAGAUGAAAAGGAUAAGUGAUAAUAGUAGGGCAUACAUAUAAACAAAAAACCAAAAAAAAAAAAAAGAAAAAAUCAGUUAGAUUUAAAUUCAUUGACACAUUUUUAUUAAGUCAGGGCUAAAGCAAAAGUAUUUACAGUGUAAAUCUAAACUUAUCUUCUGAGUUAUUGGGAAAUUUAUGUACAUAUUCGAGCAAGUUGGUACAGUUCCAUUUAUUUUGUCCUGUUGUGUUUAUAAAUUCCACUGAAGCUUUUCCUGUAAAUUCCAUCUCAUUAUUUUAUGUCUCAUCAUGGAUAAUGUUGAGGUACAUUAUCUGAAAGGUGCUUUAUGGAAAUAAAUUGGUUUGACUUUGUCAUGUAAGAGUAGCAGAACACUUACUUUUCAACUGACUUGGGUUUUUCCCAUUUUGUGUUACCACAGUGGGUUUUCAAUGUUCUGAUGUUCCUAUGAAUAUGUUGCAAAGAAAAAAAAAAAGGAAACCUCAAAUUGUAAAUGAAAUUUAUUUUGCUUCCAUUUUUUCUUUAUUUCUACCUACUAUUUCCCAGAUGGUGCUUAUGCAUGAAGUGCGUAUUUAAGGUACACCUGUUGCAAAGGAAUUAAUAGCUAAUAUUAGAGAGACCUCUUGAGAUGGAUGGAUUGUUAAUCAAAUUUGUAUACAGUGCAUGAGUUCUUUAUAAUUUUUCAAAUAUAAAAGCUGUAUAUCAACAAUAUUUCAAACUUACUGGCUUUGUCUGUCAAGAUUCUCUUGUGGUUUUGUGGCUUUGAAUAUUUUUUUGGAGGAAAAGGAAUUGCUUUGUUUUGCAAAAGAAUCUGGAGCUAAUAGUUUUUCAGCUAUGCAUUGUACUUUGGUACCUUCCAGCUAAUCAUUAAUCCUUAAGCAGUGACCUUCAUUAAGCAGUGAUAUUCAUUGCUAAAAAAGUCACAAAGAAUGUUAAUGAAAUCUAAAAAAUAUCUAGGUUAUCCAUAGAAAUAACAGCUCCUGGAAUAAAUAGAAAAUAGUCUACAGUAAUUCAUAUUUAAGAAUAAAAAAGCAUGAAGGAGUCUGCCUUCAUGAUUCCUGACAGGCAAUGUCAUCCAAAGCCUGUGAGAAAAUAUUUAUUUCUGUACUACCCCCUGAUUUAAAUAUUAUGAGGGUGGGAAACCACUUAUAAGCAGUAUCUGGGUGUGAAAAACUUAUUAGGGAAAGGUGCAGAUGUGCAAAGGUGAGACAGUCAAAUUUGUCAAAUUGAUGUCAGAAGUAAAGGAUUGGGCUAGUUCCUUCAGAUAUUUAAGUGUGUCACCGACACCACAGCAUUGAAAAAUCUCCUGAGGUCAGUGUUUGCUCCGUGCUGUAUGACAUCUGCCCCUAAAUUUUCAAGGCAGUACACAGAAAUGUAACUUUCUAGCUCUCAUUACAGUCAAAAGAAAUUGCUUCAGAUCUGGAACCUAGUAUUUCACAAAAAAAAAAAAAAAAAACCUAGACACUCUUAUACGUUUUGCAAGUACUGUACAGCAGAAUUAAGAACAGAUUGUUAUUAACCCAAUAAUUUUGUGUGACACAUAUUGUGUAUUUUCAUCAAUUGCACAACACAAUUGAGAGAAUAGAUUUUUUGCCCGUUUCAGUUACAUGUCCAGGCUGUGGCUCACAGGGAGAAAUGCUUGCCUUGGAUAACAAUGAAUGUUUCCAUUGAGAAGAACCUUCCAGAAUAGCAGGAUCAUGUACACGUUACUUUGUGUACAACAGAAUAGUCACUGCUUAUAGCUUUUCUGUUUGGUCAGAAGGUAUCCAUUGAUUUCUGAUUUUAGCGCCAAACAAAGCAAUUCUCUGCAGCCUAUUUUAGUGUCAACAUUAUUGGCUGCUGCAAAUUGAGGACAGGAAAGAAUGUAUAUACCUGCAUAUACUUCUUACACCUCUGACUUAAUGACACGUGAAGAUAGAAACAGACAGGAAGGAAAAUUUUGCAAGUAACUACAAACGCACUCUGGAAGAAUGGGAACAUGCUGGAAUUGACAUGUACAUGCCAACUUUUUUUCUGGCUGGAUAAUUGAAACUAGUCCUGAGAUAGGUUUGGAAGUGUUUAAUUGCCUAAGCAUGAGACAAUACUAGAUACAUUUACUUAAUGCUAGACACAUCUGAGCUCUCCAGGAGAUGAGUCUCACUGCUCCAGGAGCCAUCACUCCUUGUUGGGAAAAGAACCAUAUCUAGGUCAUGACUUGGGACAGCUCAAUAUGCAGGUGCUGCUAUUUAUUUCCAUUAUGAUACAUUCAGUUACCUCACUACUGAAAACUUACUUGCUUCAGCAAGGUGGAAUUAAUCAGGGCACAUCUUUAGACAUCUGAAAAUAAUUGAAAAGCCGGUCUUUCUAACUUGGGCUACAGUCACCUUCCGUAAGUCAUUGGUACGUACCUAUUCCUGCAAUAAAAUUAAUGGGCUUUGAAUGCCACAGAUGGUCAUUGCUAUCAAACUCUACAUUUAAAAAUGACUGGAAGUAUAAAGCAAAAGCAAGGCUUAGCCACUCUUAAUAUAAUCAUCUUUAGGAAGCCUUCAGCAGCAUACAAAGUGGUUUUUGAUAAAUGGCAAUGUAAUGUCCUAUAUUUUCCCUUGUUCUUUUUCUGUCCAGCCUCUUUUCUUCAGGGUGACUUGGUUCGGCUGUAAAGAUUUUUCCAAGUAACACCACCACAUUUGUAUUUACCUUUGAAAAAAGAAGAUAAGAGCGAUGAAUGGAAGGGGAUGAUGAAAUUUCAAUUAAUUCCAAAAGUUCAUACUUCUGAAUGUAAAUGAAUAGCAUAGUAAAGAUUGAGUUGCAUUUCUGUCAUUUUUCAUUAUGUUGUUCUGGUCUGAGGUAACAUGAUGUGAUCAAAAUAAACAUGAAUUAAUUAGA